AGGGCUCUAAACUUCAACCUGCUAUCCAAGUCCCACCACCAAAUCCAUCCACCAAGCCAACCACCUGUCACCAUAACCACCAGCCUCUACCAUAACCGCUGCCAUUGCAGUCCCUACACCACCACCACCGCUGCACCACCGAGGAGUCAUUGCAAACAAUGGUGUCAAUGGGAGUCACAAAGUCUGCACACCAACCGGAGGAGUUUGCUCACAUGGUAGUGGAAUCCAGGGUGAAUUUGACCUAACCAACUUCAAAGACGGUGUGAUUUCUUCUGCUUUCAUGGUUGGACUUCUUGUCACAUCUCCCAUAUUUGCAUCAUUGGCCAAGAGAAUCAAGGUUGGUUUAAAAGGGGAUUGCGGCGACGAUGUGGCAAUGGUUGCAGAAGCUGACAAUUGAAAGGGCGGUGAAGUGAAUGUAGCAACUGUGGGACUCGAGGUGGACAUCCCUGUGAAUCCUAAAGAAGGUGAAAAUUGAAUGGGUUGUGAAGUGAAUGUGGGUCCAGGAUACUUCCAGGUGGACAUCCCGUGAAUACUGGACGGUCUAGGUUAGGUUUCACUGGUAGAGAAAAGAUUGAAGCGGUUCUUGGUGAUGCUGUAGAAAAACUAGCAGUAGGUGAUGUCGACUUAAGUGGUUCCGGCGACCCAAGCUAGGGUUCAGAUUAGGGGGGAUGGUAAUGGUGGUGGUGGUGGUAGUGUGUAGUGGUUGCGACGAUAAUGUGUGAGGGUGGGUAGUGGUGUGGUAGCAGAUGGUGGUGGUGGGUGGUGGGUAAGUGGAGAAGAAGGAAGGAAUAGGAUGUUGGUUUUGUGGGAGAGAAAGAGGUAUAGGAAGAGGAUGUGUAGAGUAGGGUUCCUGCGGAAAGUGUGUUUUUCCUAGAAAGUCUAGGAAGCGAUCUGGUCCAUCCGAUUGGUGUGUUUAAGGGUUGAGAUUAAAUCAAUGACAAUCUUAUAAUAUUUAACUAUAUUUAAUAGAUUGUUUUAAAUGAGUAGGUGCAAUUUCGUCAAUAACAGUGUUUUAAAUCAAUCAAAAUUAACUGUCAGGAUAUCAUAUCUCCUUAUUACACGCGAAUUUCCCUCUCUCUCUCUCUCUCUUUCUCUCUCUAAACCCACAACGAAAACUCCCUAAAAUCAUACCAAAUAUACCUAAAAUCAUGGAUGAAGAUAAGAGAUUUUCCAAGUUCUAUAUACGUAAGAUCAAGCGGCCAUUAUGUUCCGUGUUUUACUAGGCGAUUAGGGUUCAUUCGUGUUCUACAUUGAAGUAUUUCAUGUUUGCAGGGAAGAGAUUCAAAAAACAGAGGACUUUAAACAACAUGGAUGGAAGCAGAGUUGAAGUCGCCGGAAGAAAAGUUGAAGUCGCCGGAAGCAGAGUUGAAGUCAUCGGAACCGUAGGUGUGUGUUUUGAAUAACAAAUGUUAGUAGGAUUACCGUGUAUUGUCGAUGACUGUGUUUUUAUUGGUUGUAUGUGGUAAUGUGUUUUAUGGUCAGUUUAUGUAGGUUUUAUAUAGUAGUAAUUUGGGUUUGUGGAUGUUUUAUAGAGUAGUAAUUUGGAUGUGCCGGUUGUGUU
rnacentral:lncRNA from 1 species